GCUUAUGGCCAUGUUGAAAGAGCUGUUCUCGUACGAUCACCGAAGUUAAGCAAUAUCGAGCCUGGUUAGUACCUAGAUGGGUGACUACUUGAGAAUAUCAGGCGCUGUAA